rnacentral:lncRNA from 1 species
ACCCACCCGCGUCACAGGGUUCAGUGGUCCGUGCAGACGUUAGGACUUCAAAACCGGGAAGAGAAAGAGCAGCCCAGUUUCACGAUUUUCACCUCCUCCGCAGAGUAAUGCAGUGCGGUGUGCGCAAAGGCCAGCGUCAGCCUGAGUCAUCUUCACUCAGGAAAUGAUUGCAGGAGACCGAAUGUGUCACGAAACCCCAGGGAAACCAUAUUUCAGGCUGAAGACAGGGAGGAUUUCCUUCUGAGGGCAAGUCUUCUUUUCUGCAGGUGGCGAGCAGCUUACAUUGGAGUCAAGCAUGGAGCAGGAGCCUAGGGGCUUCAGCCAGCCCAUCUGGCCCCCCGCCAGGCCACGGCCCGCGAAGAGCCGCACUCCAGGGUCACAAGCAGCAAUUGCAGCUUUCCUCUGCAGCCGAGAUGCCAGCGGAGUCCGCACCCUGGCUGCUGGCUCUGCCUCUCGGGCCGGCUUCGCCCAGCCUGGUUUGGCCCUAAUUAGAAAUACCGGACCAGUCUGGCAGCUUCGGAUGCUUUUCUGGGCAGCAGUGUCUUCCCCAUCAUGGCUUCGUCCCUGGUCCCGUGUGUCCCAGCUGCCCCAGCCCAUCUCCUCGCAUGGGUGUGCCGAGGUCUGGCCACAUCCACCUGUUUUCCAUGCCACGGUCACGGUCCUGAUCCUGAUCGGUGUCCUCAAAGGACUUUCACCCCAGCUGUCAGCACACUGUACCUUUGUAGAAGCAGCGUGCUCACUUGGUAGCUAUCUUUCCAAAUCCAGAAUUUACAAUAAAACUUGCAAUGCACAGCUAUCUAUUCUGCUCUAGAGAAAAAUUCCAAUGGUGGAA